UACAGAGGUCUCGAGCGUUGUUCGGAUUCAUUGGGCGUAAAGGGUGCGUAGGUGGCGCUGCAAGUCAGGUGUGAAAUUUCGGAGCUUAACUCCGAAACUGCAUUUGAUACUGCGGUGCUUGAGGACUGGAGAGGAGACUGGAAUUUACGGUGUAGCAGUGAAAUGCGUAGAGAUCGUAAGGAAGACCAGUGGCGAAGGCGGGUCUCUGGACAGUUCCUGACACUGCGGCACGAAGGCCAGGGGAGCAAACGGG
rnacentral:rRNA from 1 species